rnacentral:rRNA from 1 species
AGAGCGAACGCUGGCGGCAGGCCUAAUACAUGCAAGUCGAACGGAUUCUUCGGGAUUAGUGGCGGACGGGUGAGUAACACGUGGGAACGUGCCCUUUGGUUCGGAACAACUCAGGGAAACUUGAGCUAAUACCGGAUGUGCCCUUCGGGGGAAAGAUUUAUCGCCAUUGGAGCGGCCCGCGUCUGAUUAGCUAGUUGGUGGGGUAAAGGCCUACCAAGGCUACGAUCAGUAGCUGGUCUGAGAGGAUGAUCAGCCACACUGGGACUGAGACACGGCCCAGACUCCUACGGGAGGCAGCAGUAGGGAAUCUUGCGCAAUGGGCGAAAGCCUGACGCAGCCAUGCCGCGUGAAUGAUGAAGGUCUUAGGAUUGUAAAAUUCUUUCAGUGGGGACGAUAAUGACGGUACCCACAGAAGAAGCCCGGCUAACUUCGCGCCAGCAGCCGC